GCUUCUUUCCUCCCGAGUGCUUGCACUCAAUUGGAAAGAGGAGUGGCGGACGGGUGAGUAACACGUGGGUAACCUACCCAUCAGAGGGGGAUAACACUUGGAAACAGGUGCUAAUACCGCAUAACAGUUUAUGCCGCAUGGCAUAAGAGUGAAAGGCGCUUUCUGGUGUCGCUGAUGGAUGGACCCGCGGUGCAUUAGCUAGUUGGUGAGGUAACGGCUCACCAAGGCCACGAUGCAUAGCCGACCUGAGAGGGUGAUCGGCCACACUGGGACUGAAACACGGCCCACACUCCUACGGGAGGCAGCAGUAGGGAAUCUUCGGCAAUGGACGAAAGUCUGACCGAGCACCGCCGCGUGAGUGAAGAAGGUUUUCGGAUCGUAAAACUCUGUUGUUAGAGAAGAACAAGGACGUUAGUAACUGAACGUCCCCUGACGGUAUCUAACCAGAAAGCCACGGCUAACUACGUGCCAGCAGCCGC
rnacentral:rRNA from 1 species